AUUAGAGCAGGGAGCCAAGUCCUGCAGGGAGCGGUAAUGCGGUCUGGGGAGAAAUCGGGGAGGAAACGGCCUAUUUCGGGACAUCCACAGUCAUCCGAUGAGGGUUUCUGGAGCUCUCCCAAGUGCAGGUGCCGGAGAUACAGACGAUUGUGCAGGAGAUCGACACGGCCCCUCACGGAGCUGACGGUCUCCUGGGAAUGUGCAGUGACAACACGGUGAGCCCGGAAGGCUCACCCGGAAGGCUCAGCCGCGAUCCUGGCUGGCUUUUUUUAACUGGGGCACGACAGGAUUCGACUCUACCCACCUCGCACUUUUUAGGGACACCUCAGUUCUGCUCGUAAAGCCUUCAACUGGUUGGAUGAGACCCACCCACACCAUGGAGGGUAAUCUCCUGGACUACAAAACAGCAGCCAUGGCAAUACCUGGAUUUGGUGCGGUCCCUUGGCCAGGGUGUCACGUGAAACUGCCCAUCGCAAACACAAACUGACGUUCCCAGCAGAGCAGACCUCAUUCCCGCCUUCGCGAGCUGCCUAGCAUCAGGAGAGCUGGGGUGCAGGCUGCCCCCUGCACCGCAGACACACACGGCGGGCCCUCAGUCACCCUCUGAAUGUGUGGGGGCAAGGGCCCCGCCUUCCAGCCUCCCGCCCUAAGGGCGAGACCACUGGGCGAGAAGUCACCGGAAGCUUUCAGCUCUCAGCCCCCGUGGCGCCGCGCGAGCCCUGCUGUUACAGGUGAGAAACUGAGGCCGAGAGCCAGCCCGUAUGACUGUCCGGGGCGCGUGGAUACAGGACCGGACGCGAUCCUAGCGAAGGAGUAACGGGGACCUCACACGCCGUCAGUUCCUCCUCAUUCUGGAUGAUGUGGAGGAGACAGGGCUGCCCAGGCAAUUCGCCGCCUCCCCCACCGCAAAUCCCGUCCACACCCAAGUGUAAGGAAUAUGAUCAGCAAAGGGUUCCCCGUUUCGCGGAGCCGGGAUAUAGGUCUCAGGCAGGUGGGGAUGUGUGAUCCUAGGGGCGACGUUUCCAUGUGUGGGGUGCACCGGCUGGUCGCCUGUGGGCCCCCUGACCUUGGGCACAGCACCCCCUCACUCGGAAGGCAGUGCUGCGUGGAAAGUGCCGUUUCUGGGGGAGGACGCCCACAUGUCCCCGGGCCCCUGCCCUGCUGUGUCCGGCUCUGUGACUUUGGAUGAGAGCCCUUGUCUAUCGGGAACACCGUUUCCUUACCUACCGGCGGGGACGGAGGGUGAAGCGGAGCUCCGAAAUUCUGGGUCUUCGUGGAUACGGAUGUUCAUUCCCUUCAUCACUGACGUUUACUGUCGCCUCGCUUCUGUGUUCAUGACACGUGUUUUGGUUUCA